UACGGGGGGAGCAAGCGUUGUUCGGAUUUACUGGGCGUAAAGGGCGCGUAGGCGGUCAGCACAAGUCAGUUGUGAAAUCUCCGGGCUUAACUCGGAAAGGUCAACUGAUACUGUGCGACUAGAGUGCAGAAGGGGCAACUGGAAUUCUCGGUGUAGUGGUGGAAUGCGUAGAUAUCGGGAAGAACACCAGUGGCGAAAGCGGCUCUCUGGGGACCAUCUGACGCUGAGGCGCGAAAGCGUGGGGAGCGAACCGG
rnacentral:rRNA from 1 species